UACCCACCGUGGUUUAUAAACAGAGUUAGGAAAAAACGCGUACACAAACACUAUAACACAAUGGAAGUAGAUAGUACGUUAGAUCAACCCCACAAAUAUGUGUCUACGCCGUACAUACCGUGCCUGAGUGAAAAGCUUGGGAAAAUCUUGCGGAGAAAUAAUGUGAUCCUUGCUUCCCGUCCGCAAAACAAGAUCAAAAACACUGUUUUCAGUAAAACUAAGGACCCCAUAGCACCAGGGAAGCAGAAGAAUGUGGUGUACUCCAUACCAUGUGGUGCGGCUGAUGGUAAAGUCUACAUUGGACAGACGAAACGCAUGCUGGAAGUGAGGAUUGCAGAACACAAGAAUGACAGCAAAAAGAGGAAUCCAAAAUCGGGAUUAGCAGUGCACACGAUCGAAGAAGGCCAUGUCUUUGAUUUCGAAAAAACGACUGUUUUGGAACGCAUCGAGAACCCAGAGACCAGGAUGAUCGCAGAGGUCUUCCAUAUCAAAAAGCAGGGAGAAAGAGAGACCGUAAACCUGCAACGUGAGUGCGGUAAUUUCAACUCCACGUACAAUGGUCUAUUGGCGAGACUGCGUGGAGAGCCACAUACACGGACGACUGAGAGAGGAAACAUUGACGAAAAUGAAACUGGGUGAUGAGCAAGGUGCGCUCGUUAAUUGGGGUUUUGGGAAAACCAUUAGUAUAGUUGUGACAGACCAAGCUGUAAGGUUGCGUUCAGCAUGUUGCGUCUGAUGAGGGCUGAAGUGAAGUAAGCCGAAACGCGUAACGCAAAAUAUGCUGUUUUUGUCUGUUGUCACCGAGAAAAGCCAAUAUAUAAUAUUAAAU